AACGAACGCUGGCGGCAUGCCUAACACAUGCAAGUCGAACGAUCCCUUCGGGGAUAGUGUCGCACGGGUGCGUAACGCGUGGGAACCUGCCCUUAGGUUCGGAAUAACUCAGAGAAAUUUGAGCUAAUACCGGAUAAUGUCUUCGGACCAAGGAUUUAUCGCCUUUGGAUGGGCCCGCGUUGGAUUAGCUAGUUGGUGGGGUAAAGGCCUACCAAGGCGACGAUCCAUAGCUGGUCUGAGAGGAUGAUCAGCCACACUGGGACUGAGACACGGCCCAGACUCCUACGGGAGGCAGCAGUGGGGAAUAUUGGACAAUGGGCGAAAGCCUGAUCCAGCAAUGCCGCGUGAGUGAUGAAGGCCUUAGGGUUGUAAAGCUCUUUUACCCGGGAUGAUAAUGACAGUACCGGGAGAAUAAGCCCCGGCUAACUCCGUG
rnacentral:rRNA from 1 species